GAUGAACGCUGGCGGCGUGCCUAAUACAUGCAAGUCGAGCGAACAGACGAGGAGCUUGCUCCUCUGACGUUAGCGGCGGACGGGUGAGUAACACGUGGAUAACCUACCUAUAAGACUGGGAUAACUUCGGGAAACCGGAGCUAAUACCGGAUAAUAUAUUGAACCGCAUGGUUCAAUAGUGAAAGACGGUUUUGCUGUCACUUAUAGAUGGAUCCGCGCCGCAUUAGCUAGUUGGUAAGGUAACGGCUUACCAAGGCAACGAUGCGUAGCCGACCUGAGAGGGGGAUGGGCCACCCGGGGACUGGGACACGGGACCGACCCCUACGGGGGGAGGCAGGAGGGAAUCCUGCGGCAUGGGGGAAAGGCUGGCGGGAGCACCCCGGGGGGGUGAAGAAGGUUGUCGGGAUCUAAAACCUUGUUUAUAAGGAAAAAAAAAAUGUGUAAGUAACUAUGCGCGUCGUGAGGGUACCUAACAAGAAAGCCACGGCAAACUACGUC
rnacentral:rRNA from 1 species